rnacentral:rRNA from 1 species
UUUAUGGAGAGUUUGAUCCUGGCUCAGGAUGAACGCUGGCGGCGUGCCUAAUACAUGCAAGUCGAGCGAACAGACGAGGAGCUUGCUCCUCUGACGUUAGCGGCGGACGGGUGAGUAACACGUGGAUAACCUACCUAUAAGACU